rnacentral:rRNA from 1 species
GACGAACGCUGGCGGCGUGCUUAACACAUGCCAGUCGAACGGAAAGGCCUCUUUCGGGGGGUACUCGAGUGGCGAACGGGUGAGUAACACGUGAGUAACCUGCCCUUGACUUUGGGAUAACUUCAGGAAACUGGGGCUAAUACCGGAUAGGAGCUCCUGCUGCAUGGUGGGGGUUGGAAAGUUUCGGCGGUUGGGGAUGGACUCGCGGCUUAUCAGCUUGUUGGUGGGGUAGUGGCUUACCAAGGCUUUGACGGGUAGCCGGCCUGGGAGGGUGACCGGCGACAUUGGGACUGAGAGAAGGCCCAGGCUCCGACGGGAGGCAGCAGUGGGGAAUAUUGCACAAUGGGUGGAAGCCUGAUGCAGCAACGCCGUGUGCGGGAUGACGGCCUUCGGGUUGUAAACCGCUUUCGCUCAUGACGAAGCUUUGUGUGACGGUAGUGGGUAAAGAAGCACCGGCUAACUACGUG